rnacentral:lncRNA from 1 species
CUUAAAUACUUAAAAAAUUAUCUUUUUCUGAACAGCCCUCAUCACUCCAGUCUGCCCCCCAGCCCACUGAUAGCAACCAUCAUAAUGCCACACCCAGCUUCCGGUACCUUUCGCCACUCCGGCACAAACCGACACAGCUUUGUGAUCUCGCCAGCAUGCAGUCUGAUGUCUUCCCUAUAGAUGAUUCCAGAGACUCUGUGAGGCCACUAUUACAAGGCAAGUUUGAAAAUCUUGGAAUUUCACAGUUUACAUGGUAUAACAAAUAUAUGUGACAGGCAAAAACUAGUAAACACUCUUAGCAGUUACAAGAACUAACAAAUGAAUAUCCAACAAAAGGGAAUAGAAAUACAUUGUACUGCCAGUACUUUGGUUUAUUCUUUGUAUGACUUGAAAAUCAGGCUUUAGGGAAAACUAAAUGACAUGUUUCUAUCAUCAAUUACAUGAAGUAAACACACAAGCACUUGCAUACACAUUUAAGACAUGAGACACGCUAAUUCCAUCUCAUAAAAUGUGUCUAUAGGUGAGACGCUUUGCGUUGAUUGGUGCUGCUGGACCACACUGGAGGUGCGAGUCUGCCGUGUAAUGGUUUAUGCCAUUACAAAGGAGCUGGCCUCUGUACUCAACUGGGCAGGGAAAAAAAACCAAGGACCAGACAAAGCAAAAAAGGGCAUUUAAAGAGACAGCGCUGUGCAGAUGCAUAUUUGAUGGCCUGGCGCAGCAGGUAGGGGCGAACUCUAUGUCUGAGUUGGUCUUUGCUUAAGCAGUCCAGAAAUGGCUCAGAUAUGCUCCAGAUCGUACGGGUGGCGCGCAGGACACACAUCAUCCAUCCCCAUCCCGGAGUAAAUAAUAAAAAGUGACGUGAAACAUAGAAAUGUAAAUAGGAAACUUUGUCUUUUAAUAAAGUAUUUUGCAAAUGAUACAUGUCUAUUGACCUUGUUUGUUUGUUUUUUUCAAUAAAAAGCAACUGUGCAAAAGAGGUGGAAAAUUAACACCAUAGCUCAACAGUGUUUCAAUAUCAGAAUCUGACAUUGUUUCAAUGUCAACAGUAUUCGAAAAUAUAACGUCGAAUCAAUGUCAGGUUUCAACAUUGAUUCAACAUCAAAACCUGACGUUGUUUCAACGUUAAAAAUGGGUGCAAGAAUGACGUUGGGUCAACGUCACACUUCAACGUUGCUUCAAUGACGUCGCCUGAU